rnacentral:lncRNA from 1 species
UAGACACACGAUUCCCCAAGACAUGUCUAUCCCGGAUUCCCCGUUCCUAUCGCAUUGCACACCUUACAAGGAACUAAAGAUGCGUUCGAGGUUAAAUAUUAAUGUCCACAUGCUUUCUAUAUUGGAGCUGGGUACACAAGAACGGCGAAGGAAUUGAUUUUAUGGUCCCUUAUUUCCGGUAACAAUGUAUAGUCUUUUCUAUCAAACAAGAAGAAGAAGAAGAAAAAAAAAAUAUGAUGGGAAAGCUGCACCGGUACUUUACAUUAUCGUUACUAAAAAAAAUCUAUUGAUUUCAAACUUUUUUUAAAUGAAGAAAUAGAUAAAGAGAGAGAUUCGGAGAGGAAACAACAGAACUAGGUGAAGUGUUUUACAAAAACACAAAGACUUAUAACGGUUUUUCGGCAACGAACAAAACAGUUCACAAAUCCCCAUCAUCGCCCAGUAGGCGAAAUUUGUGAAUUAUUUAUUCCAGGCCAGGGCAUUUUAUUGACGAAAUUAGCUCAGGUUUACUACUGUGCUACGAUAAAUCUCUUUGGUGCAAUCUUGUAAUGAACCUAGAGAAAAAUGAACAAAGAUCGCAGUGGAAAUUCCGCGCGGGAGAUCGAUCAAUCUUUAUGUUCUUUUCUCAAUAAGUAUAGAUUAAAAGUCGUUCCUUACAAGCGAUACACCCUGAGACAGAUAAUCAUUAAGAUACAUAUAAACAUCUUGAAACAAAAGUAAUAUACAGAGUGACAAUAUUUAUGUCGGUUAUUGGCGGGCGAAGAGAUCAAUGAAAGACGACGACACGUGCAAAAGUGUUCUUUUGAAGACCAAGAGAUUAAGUGAGAAAAAGAUUCAAUGAAUCAUAAUACAAUCGUAAUAUAGUAAUGAAUAAUAUCAACACCCUUGUGGAUGAUUGAGAGGAAAAGAAGACAUUAUAAAGAACAGCCAUGUGGGGUUUAAUAAGACGACACCUAUUCCAGGCGACCCUUAAUGAAAGAUAGAUUGGCGGAUUGGAAUAAGAGUGAGUAGCUUACUCGGACCCUUAGCAAAACGUCGGCAAACAAUGAAAAAGAAAGUUGUUGUCCCGCGCGCUGUCAGCACAAAAUAAAUGACUUGAGGACGGCAUACAGGGACACUACUAAGAUCAAAGCCUUUUUAUCUUCAGAAGUAUUUUUUUCUAAGUCAUUGUCAGUUGUCGAUAACUGGUGAUUGUUUUACUCGUGUGCGUGUGUGUGGGUGCCUUGUUGGCAGCGUGGGAUAAAAAACGGACCUCGUCACUGCAUACUUUUGUUCUUCAAGUGUAAUGUGCUUUGUGUGCUUUUGCUUCUAUUGAAAUCGUAUUUGAUUGUUUCUGGAUGUAGCAAGAUUAUUUUGGUAGCAGAUGAUGGCGGAGGCGUACGCGGAAAUCCGAGUUACGGCAUGUAACUGUUCACUUUCCUGGAGCGAGAGAAAAAUUCUAACUAUAAGAAUCUGAUGGACACACUGUUCCUUGUAAUGCUUCCUUUUUAUCUGUACUUAAUCACUCAUUCAGUAUUAUCAUUAUAACCAUAAACUAAAGACUAUGUCAGUGUAACCCAGUUGGCUUAAAUCUGGCAGUACUUUAACAAACUGCUUAACAAUUCCCGAAUAAUCUCAUAAGCUUAUAGAUCUAUCUAUAAACAUUCAGUUGAGUAAACGUAACCAUUCAUUUGA